CUCUUGUGGUAUUCCCGUCAUCCAUGCAAAACGUACUCAGUGGGUCCUGGAUGACCCAGAUAGAGAUAGAGAGGCUAUCUCUCUAUACACCGACGGAUCUAAGAUGCAUUGCAGUGUGGUAGCGGAAAUUCUAGCUAUCCUUGAAUCCUGCAAAAUCUUUGGUAAUAUAGUCGCGUACAAGAAUAAAACAAAAAUAUACUCUGACAGCCAGGUGGCGCUAUUGGCAAUAGCAUCACCGGUUACCAAAUCUAAGCUAGUUAGCGAAUGCAAAAUGGUACUGCGUUCAGGGCCCCAGCCAACUACCGUCUCUCUUGUCUGGGUCUUGGACAUAGGAACAUAAAAGGCAAUGACAAGACUGAUGAAUGAGCGAAGGCAGGCGGUGGUUUGUAUGAAUACCAAGCAUUGCCCCCUUGAAAUAGUCCAAAGAGAGAUUACCACGCAUUUUCUUGAACUGGCUUGACACAAGAGGUCCGAUAUACAGAUCUGUUGUAUAUCAAAAAAAUUCUGGGCUAACUACAACAGGAUGAAGACCUUCGAUCUGCCAAACGUUUCUAAAUUGUUUUCAGCGGGUGUGUUUAGGUAUGUACUUAGUUUACACAUAAAAAAUUCAUACAAGUCCCUAACAGGCGCCACUAACCGCACAAAAGUGAGUUGACUAAGUAAAUGAAGUCAAUGGAAGUCGGUGGAAGGUGUAGACGUGGGAGGUGGGAGGCGGCCUUUUUAAAGAAGGAAAAAGCGAGAGAUAAUCAUUGGUGUUGGCGACGAGCAUUUAUCGUCACCAAUAAGUUGACAGAGCUCAGCUAGCAGGGACUUUGUGUACACACCAAACUUAUGCUGGUUGGUUAGUGGAUGAAGAAAUGAGCACAUUUGGGGUUUUCGUUAGAUGAUGGAGAGGGUUCGGGGGCAUUGUCGAUGAAAAUGUAAUAUGCGAAAAGAAAACCAAAUAAAAGAUUAAAGAAGAAAAAGAGCACAUUUGAACGAUACAGCGGAAUAAGUUGAAAGAAAGAAAGCAAUAGGAAAUAUUUUUCUUUCGCAGCAAAUUUUCCGCAUUAUACGCUUGGCUUACUCAUCGAGCGAUUUAUUCAUAUACUUUUUCAUAUAAAUUCAUACUUAUGAAGGAAGCAUUUUCUUCGUGGCAAUAGAAGCUUGUAGAUAUGUACAUAUGUACAUAUGUAUGGGCGCAGCACCUUGACUGUCACAAUGCGAGCGUGUAGCGUGUGAAUGCGCCAACGCUCCACUGAGUAAUGACUGCAGAACGAGUGCGCGAUGCUGCUAAUGGGGGAGCAGCGCCUGUAUUAUUGAUACGAUGUUGAGCCACACCGCAGCCGGACGAAGUGGCAAUAAAAAAUUUAGUUAGCUGUUUGGUUCACCAUGGGACGGACCAUUUACCAGUUACAGAGGUGGUCGAACAACCGACGCAGCUACACAAUGACGAUGCACAGUCUACAAAAUGUAACAGGAGCUGAGUUGUGGACAAGCAGUUGCUUAUUACAACAAAUGCGAAUAUUAUGGAUAAAUUCGCUAUAGAAAGGUUUGUGUGCGCGUGUACAUAUUCAAAUGCACAAGUACUGUCUAAAAAGAGUGUGCCAACUUUAUAAACCUGAUCGUGAAAUUUAAAUGCAGUUGAGUGUGUACAUAUGUAUGUACAUUAGGGUGGUCCUGAAAAGAGCAAAUGAGCGAGUUUUUUCUGUCUCACCUCCUCAAUUUGUAAUACCAUUGUCACACAUAGCACAUACAAAAUUUGGUUCCGGUUGAAGACGGUUAAGACGUCUCGCACAGGGGACAAAGUUCAAAUUCCUCAAUGGAGACUCAAAAAAAUUAAAAUAAUUUUUUUUUUUCAUAUAAUACC